rnacentral:rRNA from 1 species
UACGUAGGGCGCAAGCGUUGUCCGGAAUUAUUGGGCGUAAAGAGCUCGUAGGCGGCCUGUUGCGUCCGCUGUGAAAUCCCGGGGCUCAACCCCGGGCCUGCAGUGGAUACGGGCUGGCUAGAGGCAGGCAGGGGAGAACGGAAUUCCCGGUGUAGCGGUGAAAUGCGCAGAUAUCGGGAAGAACACCCGUGGCGAAGGCGGCUCUCUGGGACGGUACUGACGCUGAGACGCGAAAGCGUGGGGAGCGAACAGG